UUAAAAGUCACAAAACAAACUCAUAUAACGUAUUAUUAUGUUUUAGUCCCUAAAAACUGGCUACUUGAUCCAUGAACUCCUUGUAGAAGAUCACCCCUUUGAAAUUGAGCAAGAGUUGGAGUUUUUUUCCCACAUUCUGAAACAUCGGAAAGUUCAACUUUCGGCCGAAGGAUUCUUCAUUUUGGACCUGAAGAUUUUAACGAAGAUGAUGUGCACUCUUGUUCCUCUCAUCCUGAUUCUAGUCCAGAGGAGGAAUCGAACCAAAACUGCUUGAAACAAAUCUCAAAAACCGUAGAAACUAG